rnacentral:rRNA from 1 species
AUUGAACGCUGGCGGCAUGCCUUACACAUGCAAGUCGAACGGCAGCACGGGAGCAAUCCUGGUGGCGAGUGGCGAACGGGUGAGUAACAUAUCGGAACGUGCCCAGUCGUGGGGGAUAACGUACCGAAAGCUACGCUAAUCCCGCAUACAAUCUAGGGAUGAAGGCGGGGGAUCGCAAGACCUCGCGCGAUUGGAGCGUCCGAUAUCAGAUUAGGUAGUUGGUGAGGUAAAGGCUCACCAAGCCGACGAUCUGUAGCUGGUCUGAGAGGACGACCAGCCACACUGGGACUGAGACACGGCCCAGACUCCUACGGGAGGCAGCAGUGGGGAAUUUUGGACAAUGGGCGCAAGCCUGAUCCAGCAAUGCCGCGUGCAGGAUGAAGGCCUUCGGGUUGUAAACUGCUUUUGUACGGAACGAAACGGUGAGCUCUAAUACAGUUUGCUAAUGACGGUACCGUAAGAAUAAGCACCGGCUAACUACGUGCCAGCCGCCGCGGUAA